CAGUAGCCGCGGGAAUACGAAGGUCCCAAGCGUUGUUCGGAAUCACUGGGCGUAAAGGGAGCGUAGGCGGCGUGGUAAGUCAGAUGUGAAAUCCCGGGGCUCAACCCCGGAACUGCGUCCGAUACUGCCAUGCUUGAGGGUUGGAGAGGUAGCUGGAAUUCUCGGUGUAGCAGUGAAAUGCGUGGAUAUCGAGAGGAACACUCGUGGCGAAGGCGAGCUACUGGACAACAUCUGACGCUGAGGCUCGAAGGCUAGGGUAGCGAAAGGGAUUAGAUACCCCUGUAGUCCCUGUCUCUUAUAC
rnacentral:rRNA from 1 species